UACGGGGGGGGCAAGCGUUGUUCGGAAUUACUGGGCGUAAAGGGCUCGUAGGCGGCCAACUAAGUCAGACGUGAAAUCCCUCGGCUUAACCGGGGAACUGCGUCUGAUACUGGAUGGCUUGAGAUUGGGAGAGGGAUGCGGAAUUCCAGGUGUAGCGGUGAAAUGCGUAGAUAUCUGGAGGAACACCGGUGGCGAAGGCGGCAUCCUGGACCAACACUGACGCUGAGGAGCGAAAGCCAGGGGUGCAAACGGG
rnacentral:rRNA from 1 species